UACGUAGGGUGCAAGCGUUAUUCGGAAUUACUGGGCGUAAAGCGUGCGUAGGCGGUGAUGUAAGACAGAUGUGAAAUCCCCGGGCUCAACCUGGGAACUGCAUUUGUGACUGCAUCGCUGGAGUGCGGCAGAGGGGGAUGGAAUUCCGCGUGUAGCAGUGAAAUGCGUAGAUAUGCGGAGGAACACCGAUGGCGAAGGCAAUCCCCUGGGCCUGCACUGACGCUCAUGCACGAAAGCGUGGGGAGCAAACAGG
rnacentral:rRNA from 1 species